CAACAGAAUACAUGCUUAUUAAAACAAAUCAUAGGCAGCAAGCCAUGUUUGGGUGCAGUUAGGAGCUGUUACUUUGUGGUCUGAAGAAAAGUUGUAUGUUUAAAUCUGUGCAGGACCCAGCAUAUCUCCACUGAGGUCUCUUAACUGAGCCAAUCCUUCUUCCCCACCCUCUGAGGAAAUGACAUCUUCACACAGAGGUGCGACAGGUUGAGGCUGGUAUGACAUAAUGCGAGUGAUAUAUGUCACCAAGAGACAGGGUUAAAUAUGUUUCCAGGCUUUCUUUAUGUCAAAGCAUCCUUUGUAUGAACAAGCCAAAGAAGAAAGAACUAAUCAGCACUGAAGACCAGAGAGCAAGGAAAUUAUUCAGCGCUCAAAGAAAUUCACCCUAGGCACACAUCAAAUUGCAUCUCACAUGCAGAAGAGAUUGGUGAACUCCGAUAGGUUCAGGAUAAGCACCUGACGUUCAGAUGCUUAUAUCUGAACUUUAUCUGAAUGAUCCAGAUUUCUUAGUUACAAAAUACAAGGCUGGGAAUUGCUAUUAUUGUUGUUGUUAUUAUUAUUGUUAUUACUUUCUAAAGCUCACAAAGCACUGUUGUAUGAAGUUUAGAAAUGCCCCUGUUUAGGAUGAAAUAACAUCAAUAUAUUACUCUAGGAAAAAAUACAUUUUUAAAUUUUAACAGUUAUGAGAUAUAUAUAUUUAAAACCUUUCAUAGACUGUCACAGCAUUUUUGUGUUUUUGUUUUUGCAAUUCUGCCAUUCAGAAGUAAAAACGUGGCUUCAUAGUCCCAAAUAUCACUAUCUUCUCAUUUUUUCUAAGACUAUAUUUAGAUUUAUAUAUAUA